UACGUAGGGUGCGAGCGUUAAUCGGAAUUACUGGGCGUAAAGCGUGCGCAGGCGGUUUUGUAAGCCAGAUGUGAAAUCCCCGGGCUUAACCUGGGAAUGGCAUUUGGGACUGCAAGGCUGGAGUUUGGCAGAGGAGACUGGAAUUCCUGGUGUAGCAGUGAAAUGCGUAGAUAUCAGGAGGAAUACCGAUGGCGAAGGCAGGUCUCUGGGCUAUAACUGACGCUCAUGCACGAAAGGCGUGGGGAGCAAACAGGAUUACGAA
rnacentral:rRNA from 1 species